GGACACAGGGAGGAGAUUCAGGUCUGUGAGCACCUUCAUGCCUGUACUUUCAGCAUCCGCUCGGACCCAGAGCUCUGACCCAGAAGGUCUCAUGUAAAGGCUCAGGCACAGAGCAGAGCAGACGAUGGCGAUAGGCCCAAAGACAUCGAUGGGACAGAGGGACUGGUGCUUCUGAAUGCCAUCGGCUGAAGUCUGCUGAAUAAUCCAGUGGGUAAAAUGGCUUCCCGGCAUCACCCAGAUGGACAGUUCCCACUGGUUGAGCGUGAAUGGAAGGGAUUGACUCACCAUGUGCGGAAGAGCUAAGAGCUGCGCUUACCCGCAUCCUUCUCUUGGCUGGCGUCACA